GGCUGAACUUGACAGAGGUACAUCCAUCAGUUUCCUUAACGACAAAGAAGAAGUUCGUCCUCCUGACCAGAUGAGAAGGAUGACUGACCAUGAGACAAGCCGGAGAACAAUGGUCAGCUGUGAUUUAGUCAACUAAGUGAAGGCUGGACUUUAUUGUGUCUUUGGCAUUAUAAUAAGAGUAAAUAUGGACCAGCCGAUCAUCCCAGGACACUUGAGCACCACAACAGUCCAGACAGUGAACCUCUCUCAUCAUCCUGCUCGCCUUCAGACGGCGUCCUGUGUUGGUCCAGACUGAGCCCUCCUAA